rnacentral:lncRNA from 1 species
AAAGAUGUUGAGGAAUGCCAGAUUGACUGAGCAGGGUUCAGGGACCAACUGGAUUGUCGUGCUGGGGUGAACAUGAGAAUGCCAAGGUCCAGUUCUGGUUCUUGUGUGGCAGUGUCCGUGCUUCAGGCAGCUUGGAGAUCAGAAGAGAUGAACUGGCGGAUAGGUGGAGAGAUGCAGUUGUGUGGUGGUGCAGCACUCCUGAUUCUGGCUCUGCUUAUUUAUUUAUGUUUAAAUAUUUAUUUAUGCACUUGGAUGUUCUGCCUGCAUAGUAGAAGAAGGCAUCAGAUCCCAUUAUAGAAGGUUGUGAGCUGCCAUGUGGAUAAACACUGGGAGUUGUGCUCUUAACUGCUGAGCCACCAGAGAGAGAGAGAGAGAGAGAGAGAGGAGUUGGUUUGUCUAGCAGUGGUUCUCAAUCUUCUUAAUGCUGCCCUUCUUUAAUACAGUUCUUCAUGUUCUGAUGACUCCCCAACCAAAAAAUUAUUUUUGUUGCUACUUCAUAACUGUAAUUUUGCUACUCUUAUGAAUUAUAACAAAUAUUUAGUAUGCAGGAUAUCUGGUAAUGUGACCCCUCUGAAAGGGCCCUUCAACACCAAAAGGGGUAGACACCCACAUGUUGAGACUGCUGUCUAUAGGUGUCUAUGCUGUCUAUGCUGUCUGUAGGUGUCUAUGGUGCUGUGGAGUUCAGAAGUGGGAGUUGGGUCUCCUGGCGUGUGAGCCAUCUGCUAGCAGGGUGGGAACAACUAUUUACAUGUUAAUUAGAGUAAAAUGAACCUUGACGUACAUCUCAGACCAUUUAGAAAAAUAUCUUAUCAUGGAAUGUAGAUCUAAAUUCUGAAGUAUUUAGAAGAAAAUAGUAUCCUUGUGAUCUAGGCAGACUUUAAAAAAAUUAGUCUUUUUUAAGUAGUAUGAAUGGACUUUGCAGUGUUUUUGUACAUAACGACAGCAUUGUUCUUUACUCGCAUGCACGCCUGUGGAGCAGCUUGCCACCCUGGCACCGAGCAAUCAUUUCUUAUCUAAGACAUGGAGAACAUCCUAGUUAAGCAAAAUACUUUAUCCAGCUAGACUUAAAAUUAAACUCUUGAUCAAAAUAUAGCAUUGAGAAGACAAAAUGGUCGCACGCCUUUAAUCCUAGCACUUGGGAGGCAGAGGCAGGCGGGUUUCUGAGUUCGAGGCCAGCCUGGUCUACAGAGUGAGCUCCAGGACAGCCAGGGCUACACAGAGAAAUCCUGUCUCAUAAAACCAAACCAAACCAAACCAAACCAAAAACAAAAACAAAAACAACCC